UGGGGAAUUUUGGACAAUGGGCGCAAGCCUGAUCCAGCAAUGCCGCGUGAGUGAAGAAGGCCCUCGGGUUGUAAAGCUCUUUUGUCAGGGAAGAAAAGGUGAUCUCUAAUACAGGUCACUCAUGACGGUACCUGAAGAAUAAGCACCGGCUAACUACGUGCCAGCAGCCGCGGUAAUACGUAGGGUGCAAGCGUUAAUCGGAAUUACUGGGCGUAAAGCGUGCGCAGGCGGUUUUAUAAGUCAGAUGUGAAAUCCCCGGGCUCAACCUGGGAACUGCAUCUGAGACUGUAUGGCUAGAGUGUGUCAGAGGGGGGUAGAAUUCCACGUGUAGCAGUGAAAUGCGUAGAUAUGUGGAGGAAUACCGAUGGCGAAGGCAGCCCCCUGGGAUAACACUGACGCUCAUGCACGAAAGCGUGGGGAGCAAACA
rnacentral:rRNA from 1 species